AUGCACAUCCAGGUGGUCAAGAGCAGCAGGGGAGAAGAGCACAACGUGACAGCUGAUGGCCUGGGAGACCAAGGACACCCAAGCUCAAGGACACCUGCUGUACACAUCGCCGCGGCUCUCCACUUCCAAGUUCCCUGCAUGCUGUGCACCGUGGACACCUUUAGCCCAUCCCGGACUCGGGGCAGCGUUUCCUCUGUGGCUCUGCGUGGGAUCAGCCAACACUCAGGAGCCACGAACUGCACCCAAGUUCUCAUGUUCUCAUGCAACAAAGAGAAAGUGAGGCUAGGAAGGGAACUGCCAUUCCUACCCUUAGGAAACCCUGCGAUGAUUAAACUGAUGACCGUCCACAGUCAGGCCGCACCAGCUGGCACCUGCUAUCAGGCGAUGCACCGACACACCCAUUCCCGCACAGUCCUGCGGGCAGACAUAGUAGGAAGCCCAUUUGCAGAUGAGGAGACCGAGGCCCAGAGACAUUAAACCCUGUUCCUCCAGCUACACAGAUGGUAGCAGCUGGGAUCCAAGUCAUCUUCUUGGCACGGUGCCUGGAACAUAAUAAGUGCUCAUUAAUUUGUGCUUUGUUUUUUCAGAAAAGGGCUUAGGUCCUUGGCUCAGUCUUUGGGAAAGAAUGCUGUCCCUGCCCUGCAAGCCGGCACGUUCCGCCUUCUCCCAGGCAACGGGAAGAAAGGCUCCUCUGGCAGGAGAGCCCAGCUGCCCAGCUCUACAGCCAGGCCUGGCCACCGCUGCCCGGUAACCGCGGCGGAUCCAGGCCACCCGCUUGGCGUCACACCCACCACUGCCCCCGUGGAAGAGGAAACGCUUUCUGCUGCUUCAGCCCACACCUGUGCGUUCGCGCUCACACGUGGUGCUUUUCUUCCACCGGUGUGUCAUUUGCACUGGAAGCAAGGGCAGCUUUGACAGAGCCAGGAUUGCGGGGCACGGGAAGGAACAGGGGCAGAGCGGAGCACUGGGACUGAGCAUGUCGUCUCCUUGCCCUUCCCAGCAGCCCUGGACAGGAAGUGUCAUUAGCCCCCAUUUUGCAUCUGCGAAAACAAAGGCUCAGCACCAAGCUACUUGUAGUGAGGACUUGCUACCAUCAUACAGCACAAUGUUUGGGGUUUGUUUGCUUCGUAGUUCAGGCUGCCCUUGAACUCACUAUGUAGCGCAGGGGAUGCUCUUGCUUCAGCCGCCUGAGUGCUGGAAUUACAGACAUGUACCGUCAUGCGGAUCAUAAAGAGCACUGAUUGAUUUUUUAAAAAAUCCCCACCAUCUGUAUGUCCUCACAGAGGAGACAGAGACUCGCCCAAGAUCACUUACAAAAGCCAGAAUCCAAAGCCAAGCAUGUGUGAUUCCCAAACACUUCCCCCUGCCUCUAAAUGUCAUUGUUUUCACGCUUCUUGGUUUCUUUUAGACACUGGAAACCUGUCCCAAGGUGUGAUCCAAAUCCUCUCCUCCUGGGGAUCCCUGGAUCUGCAGGAGAACACUGAGUGUGAGCCACUACUUCCUGUGCGCUUUCCUUUCUCCAAGUAGAAAUGCAGGCGAGUGACCCUCUGGUACGCAGGUCCUUAGGAGGACUUGGUCUCAUUCUACUGCACGUUGCAGCUCAAACUCCCUCGCUCCACACUGCAUCAUCUCUACUUGCUGCUUCCAAGUCAGUUCAAUACAGUAGAUGCUAAGGGCAGUCACGUGGGCCCUGCUGUGUGCGGGGUCCAGGGUGCAGCAGGAAACGAGGUCCACUGGAACAUGCCCCCUGACCCCCACGAUCCUUCCCUCGCCCCGAUCCCCUCUUUGUUCUCGUCCCUGAGAGCUGGCAGGAUGAGGCUUUAUCUAAAGACUUAGCCAUUUCUCAAGUCCCAGGAGUGGUUGAACUUUGUUUGUUUUUGGUACCGGGGAUCGAACUCGGGUCCUUGAGGCAGGCAGCGGAACCACUGAGCCAAAUCCCCGGCCCUGUUCGUUUUUGUUUUUUGAGACACAGUCUCGUCAUGUAGAGCAAACUCGCCUUGAACUCACCUAGAACCUCCAGCCUAAGCCUCCCAAAUGCUGGUAUUGCGGACAUGCACCACCACAUCCUGUUGGUUGAACUUUUAAAAAAAUGUCCUUUGGAGGAACCUGGCUGUAGUGGGGAGGAGAUGGAAGCGGAUACACCUUUGAAGCAGUUUGCAAGGCCAGAGACUGUGGAAUAUGGUGACUCCAGGAAGGGGGCGGGAUUAUAAGGCAUGGCCCCGCCUCCGCUAGGGGUGAUUGGAUACAGGCUGAACACAUGACCCAAUCUGGUCCAGUCAGUUUCAGUUUGUGUUGCCUGGUACCCUUUCUGGAAACUCGGUUUUCUGGAUGGAGCCCUCAGCGUAGAGGUUCCUAUUGGCUUCCCCAUGACUCACAUUUUUGCCGCUUUAAUUGUGCAAGUGGCCUUCGUUGCCUCUCCUUGAUGUCUUCUUGGAGUUUCCCACCAGGCCAAGCGCCACUUUCCCUCCCCUGUAUCUUGGAUGUCAACCUGCAACCUGUUUCCCUCGUACAACCCGCCUCUUGUAGGGCUGUCUGAAGAUCUGGGAAUCUGUACCAAAAGCUCAAAAUCAGCUGUGGUGCUGACGGUAGGGUGGGUCCCGAGGCCAAGGCCCAUCUGUCCUCCCCUGAACAAUCUUCACCUGACUCCACCCAUCUUAGCCUCCCUGGACAUGAGCCAAGCCUCGGGGCCACAUCACGUUGUGUCCCCACAUACCUGGCAGUGACGCCCUGCUUGAGCUUGCUGUUUUCUUCAUUUUAGGUUUAAAAGGCAGCUCAAGGGCUGGGGAUUUAGGUGAGUGGUCAUGCUGCCUGCCUUGCAAAUUCAAGGUCCCAAGUUCAAUCCCUGGUACAGAAAAUAAAAUAAAGUAAAAGGCAGCUCAUAACAGCCAACCCUGCAGUCCUUGUAAUCAACACAGCCCGCAUUACUGAAAUGCUAAUGCUCUGCUGCCCCCCUGUACCUCAGCCGGGGCCACACAGGCUGUCAGUUACUGCCUGCUGCACAGGCUGGGGGCUGUCACCAUCCCACCUCAACGGGUUCUGCUGCCUCUCAGCGGUGACCCAGUUUCUGAAUGCCGCCGCCCUGUGGUGCUGCUGUCAGGGCCUGGGGCAGAGACCUCCUCCUGCCGACCUGAGGCAAAGCAAGGAAACACCAGGCUCUGUGUGCUACUGCGUGGCUGGAGACAGAGGCGUGAGGAGAGAGGGACCGGUGGUUCUCAGUUCUCGAAGGCAGGAAGCAGCCGCUGGAGCCGGGCUGUCUUGGUUCGCAUCCUUACCCUUUCCUCUUCCUCCACUCACAGGUGGGGGAGCAGGAAGAGGAAGGCGCUGCUUUGGGACUCUGGAGUCAGUGGGAAAUCAUGUCAGGGCUUCCCACAGUGCCAGGCUUCUCACAAACACUCAGUAAGAGGGGAGCCUGUUACCCCAGGUACAGUGGAGGAAAUUGAAGUGCUUUCUC
rnacentral:lncRNA from 1 species